rnacentral:rRNA from 1 species
AUGGCGGCAGUGAACUCUUUGAGAAAUGGUUAUAUCUGGCGAGUGGGAAAUGGACAAAACAUCGAUAUUUGGAGAGAUGCAUGGAUUCCAAAUUGUGCGAAUAGGAAAAUUAUUACUCCUAGAGGUUUGCAACUUCUGGCAAAGGUGGCUGAUCUUAUUGAUCCAAUCACGAAUUUUUGGGAUGAAGAUUUGGUGAGACAAACUUUGUGGCCAAUUGAUGUUCAAAGGGUCCUCACGAUUCCCCUCCCUAUGCAUAAUAUGUCGGAUUUCAUUGCCUGGAGCUAUACAAAAAAUGGUGUAUUCACUGCUCGAUCAGCUUAUUUGGAGGAAUGGAACCAACAAUACGGGAGAAAAUUGCAAUAUAUUAAUGGUAUGGGUCGAAUCAAUGCCAAUCCUAUUUGGGGUAAGAUUUGGAUAUUAUUGUGUCCGGCAAAGGUAAAAAUAUUUAUUUGGCGAACGUUGCAUGGAACUCUACCGUGUUGUGUUACGCUUGCCAAUAGACAUAUGAAAGUUUCGCCCCUUUGUCCAUCAUGCUCGAAUGGGCAAGAAGAUACAAAACAUAUCUUGUUUCUGUGUAAAAAGGCAAAAGAGGUUUGGGGUAAGCUGGGGAUGUAUGAGGUAAUUAAUAAAGCUUGUGUUAUUGAUUGUGCGGGUGAGGCGGUUCUUGAUCUAUACAUGAACUGUGUUUGA